UACGGAGGGGACGAGCGUUAUCCGUCAUGACUGGGCGUAAAGAGUUUGUAGGUUGUGCUAGUGUCUUUUUAGUUUAUUUUAUAAUGGAAAUUUUAAAAAGGCUUUGAGUAAGACACUUUUACUGGAGUAUAAGAGAGGUUGGUGGAAUUUCAUAUGUAGAGUUAAAAUCCUAUAACAUAUGAAAGAAUGCUAGAGGCAAAGGCGCCUUUCCUGCUUAUACUGACACUGAGAAACGAAAGCAUGGGGAGCAAACAGGAUUAGAAACCCUGGUAGU
rnacentral:rRNA from 1 species